GGUGUCGGUGCAGGCUCUGGGAGAGUGUGGGGGGUUUCAGUGCUUACUGGGGGUCUCCGUGCACUACUACCCCAGGCACUGCCGCUGCAGCUUCCUAUUGGCUGCAGGGGUGCUUGGGGCAGGACACAGAUCCACUCCGCCCAGGGACCACAGACAGGAAGCCGCUCAGCUCCACUGCGCUGCCGGUGUGGGUGCUUGAGCCCCAGAGCACCCAUGGAGUCAGUGCCAAUGGGUGGUGCCAACUGCGGUCAAAGCACUGGUGUGUGAGAGAGCCAUUCCUGUGCUCUGGUCGCUCCUAGCCCUGUAUGUGACUCCCUGAGCUUCCACCUCUUCGCCUCUCUCUGCCUCAGAGCUGGAAAGAGGAAAGCGCUCUGAGAUCUACAGCCGGGAGGAGCUGUGUGAAGCAAGCUUCUGACAGCAGAGCUGCUGAGUGGUAAGGGGGUCCCGCUGAAGGGCCCACAUGAUUGCAAAGUUCCUGGAGCUGACAGGCUAACAAAACUGCAGCAUGACACCACCACAUCUUGAAAUACUAUCCCCUCAAGAUGCAGCACCAGAAAGAGCCACUGUGUGCCAAUGCAAAGCUGUCUCAGGAGAGGACAAUCUCCAUGUGACUCAGGAUACUUAUAUGAGGGUGAAGGUGUACACACGGCCCACAAGAGGCCUCAUUCCUCUCUCGCUUCUAUGAGACAAAAUUACACUGUAUAGAACCAGGAUUGGAGCACCUUUAUACUAGAGACUGUACACACAUAAAUCAUUUGCCCCAAAGCGAUUACAAUUUAACUAAUAAGCCACAAAAAGAAAGUUAACGAUAAAGUCACAGAAGAACAAGGCCAUUGUUUUGCUAUUGGUGUAGCAGAAAAGAUCCACCAGCUAAUCCCCCAUUUGCAGCAAGCUAUUGUUUACCAAUGGCAAUGUCCCUUCCAAGAAGGGCCUGCCAUUUUCUGAAAAGAUUCUAGAGUGAUUCUCACUCUAUGGCCCAAUUAAUAUUUAAUUAUUCAGUUGUUUAAUUGAAGUGAUCGGCUUCAACAAAAGAGAUUGAGGGAGACCCACAUCAAAGUGUCCCGUAGUACAAUGGGUAGGGUACUCACCUGAGAUGUGGGGAAUCCCUGUUCAAAUCCAUUCUCCUCAUUAGGCAGAGGAGGAAUGUGAACCAGGAUCUCCCCUGUCUUGGAUAAGUAUCCUAACCACACUCUCAUGCCACAUGCAGCGUCUGUUUCUAACUGCUGUUUGUCCUUUGGUGUCAGCAGCCUUGAAAUACGCACUUGUAUUCUGUAAAAAUGCUGGUCAGGGUCCAGGGGACUGUUCUCCCUUUUCUCUUUUGGUGAGGAUAUUCUGCUGUUGUACUGUGACUAAAUCCAAGGCUUGCACUGGUCUGCGACUCAGCAGCGUGUCAACUUCUCUAAACUCCAACUGAUAACAUCUCUUGUUUGUUAUCAGCAGUCUGCAUUUGCCCACUGGCCUCAGGAUGGCACAUAACCAUCACCUGAUCACAUUUCUCCAGUCUAAUAAUGUUGUUUAUCAGUGUUGUGGGGUUUACAUUGCAGCAUUGAAUUGGUCACAGACCUAAUAUAGCUAAAAAUAUGACAGUUGAAUGACUGACAGCCUUCUUCUGCAGCAUGUGUAUAUUAUGAGUCUUUGGAUCUGCUAAAGCCACACCACAGUCAUCCUCUUCAUUAGAAGUCUCUACAUCCUCAAUCGCUGCUGCUACUCUUUUCUUCCUGGGUAGGUGCAGCAUUGCGUGGUUCUCUCUCCCAUGCCCCUUUUACCAUUGCCCAAGGCUGGGCAUUUUUCUUUUUGCCUUUCAUGUUGCUUUCCACAUUAUGCACACUGGACCAUGAUUUCUGCUUUCUCAGUAAGUCUGUCUCAGUCUUGCUUCCUUUCACUUGAGUUUGUGUGCUUGUUCUGCAUGAGAGGCUGUCAUUGUUUUGAUCCUUUCCCUUGACAGUCCUUGCUAGUUGCAAGCACUUCUCUAGGUUUAGAACUGUUUCUCUCAAUCUCUCUGUAACCUGUAAUCAUGAGUUCCACAAACAUCUGUCUCUAAUUAGGAAAUCUUUAAUGUUUACAAAGUUACAUGUGGGUGCCAGAGUUCUAAACUCCAUAACUUAAGUAACUAUUCCUUCUUCAGAUUCCUGGUUGUGAGUAAAAAUCACUCUCUCUGAUUACAGUAUCAAUGUGUCUAGGGGUCACAGUACUCAGAGACCUUUAUCAGCUGUGGCAGAGUUUUGGGCAUUAUUCCUAGCGCCAGUGUCUCACUCCUUACUCAUCCUUUUCUUCCUUGGUAAGAUGGUAAAAUAGCUUUAUCUUCAUUUUCUCAUCUUUAUACUCUAGCUCAGCUGUAUUUACAGAUACAGUUCUUUUUUCCACUGCUUCCAUCCUGUGCAGUGGGCCACGGACCGCCUCCCGGCCCGAGUGGUGGCAGCAGCGGGGCCCCAGGCCUCUCUCCGCCUGGAGCAGCAGCAGUGGUGGUGGCGGGGCCCUGGGAUGCCCCCUGCCCAGGAGCAGUGGCAGUGCCUCGGGCUGCCCCCCACCCCCAGGAGCCACAGCAGCAGCGUCCUCUGGAGCACACACACCUGCCCUCAGCACCUAAGAUUUAGUUAGGAGUAUUUUUAGUAAAAGUCAUGGACAGGUCACUGGCCAUGACUUUUUGGUUAUUGCCCGUGACCUGUCUGUGACUUUUACUAAAAAUACCCAUGACUAAAUCAUAGCAUUACUUCUAAUAUACAGGUCAUUAAUAUCAAUGUGAAAUGUAUGUAUCAACACGAUAAGAGGAAUUAGGGAUACUUACUGAUAUUAUGCUUUAAGAUCUGUAACCGGUUUUUCUCUCUGUUUGGUUUUCCUCCAGACAGGACAGGAGGUAGUUAUCUCCGUGUCUCCUACGGUAAAUUAAGCAGGGUUAGCCAAAGACAAUGGGGACUAUCUUUGUGUAGUGAGGCAACAGGAAAAGCAAAUUAACAGAGUACCAACAUAGACCGCAUGGUAUCUGCACCCAGAAGAACACACAACAGGGGACUGGAACUUUGUCAGGUGUGUGCUUCAAAGAGUACAUUGCAAAGGAAUGUACUGGACUAUAAGAAGAUGGGGGAAAAGAGAUGAUUAUCUAUUUACGGAGGAACCCUCUUGUGGGGUAUAGGGAAAACAUGAAAAUGUGAAUCCUGGUAUGACUGAAUACUAGUAAGGACUACAGGAAAAGUUAUAGAUAAGAUUCUUUUGAUAGUUAAGUUUUAAUCUUGUAGAAGUGCUUUUUUGUUGUUUUUCAUUUGUAACCAUGUCUGUUUCUGUUAUCUUCGCUUAGUGUCACUUUAAUCUGCUCUUUAUUAAUAAACUUAUUCUUGGUUUUAUUAUUA